rnacentral:rRNA from 1 species
CCUACGGGAGGCAGCAGUGAGGAAUAUUGGUCAAUGGCCGAGAGGCUGAACCAGCCAAGUCGCGUGAGGGAAGACGGCCCUACGGGUUGUAAACUUCUUUUAGCGGGGAGUAAAGCGAGCCACGUGUGACUCGUUGAGUGUACCCGAAGAAAAAGCAUCGGCUAACUCCGUGCCAGCAGCCGCGGUAAUACGGAGGAUGCGAGCGUUAUCCGGAUUUAUUGGGGUUAAAGGGUGCGCAGGUGGGGGUUGAAGUCAGCGGUGAAAUUGUCGGGCUCAACCCUGUAAUUGCCGUUGAAACUGGAUGCCUUGAGUGCGCGCGAGGUAGGCGGAAUGCGUGGUGUAGCGGUGAAAUGCAUAGAUAUCACGCAGAACUCCGAUUGCGAAGGCAGCAUACCGGGGCGCAACUGACGCUCAUGCACGAAAGCGUGGGUAUCGAACAGGAUUAGAUACCCUUGUAGUC